rnacentral:rRNA from 1 species
AGAUAGGCAUGAGGUGGAAGCGCAGCAAUGUGUGGAGCUGACAUGUACUAAUCGGUCGACGGCUUAACCAAA